GGCUUUUUGAAUUUAAUUUAAGGUCGGGCCUGCCCAAUGAUUAAUUAAAUGGCCGCGGUAUACUGACCGUGCAAAGGUAGCAUAAUCAUUAGUUUUUUAAUUGAAAGCUUGCAUGAAGGGUUUAAUGAAAAAAAUACUGUCUCUAUUUAAAUUUAUUAGAAUUUUAUAUUUAAGUUAAAAAGCUUAAAUUUUUAUUGAAGACGAGAAGACCCUAUAGAGUUUUAUAUUUUGUUUAAUAGCUUGUGUUAAGAAUUUUAAGGAUUUAUUAUUUAAAGUAUUUAAUUGGGGUGAUUGAAAAAUUAGUUUAACUUUUUUUGUAUAUUUACAUUAAUAAAUGAGCUGAUGAUCCUUUGUUUAAGAUUAAAAGAUUAAAUUACCUUAGGGAUAACAGCGUAAUUUUUUUUAGAGUUCUUAUCGAAAAGAAAGAUUGCGACCUCGAUGUUGGAUUAAAAUAAAUUGUUGGUGCAGGAGCUAACAAAUUAGGUCUGUUCGACCUUUAAAUUUUUACAUGAUCUGAGUUUAAACCGGUGUGA
rnacentral:rRNA from 1 species